GAUGAACGCUAGCUACAGGCUUAACACAUGCAAGUCGAGGGGAAACGAUAGAGAAAGCUUGCUUUUUCUAGGCGUCGACCGGCGCACGGGUGAGUAACGCGUAUCCAACCUGCCCAUCACUUGGGGAUAACCUUGCGAAAGUAAGACUAAUACCCAAUGACGUCUCUAGAAGACAUCUGAAAGAGAUUAAAGAUUUAUCGGUGAUGGAUGGGGAUGCGUCUGAUUAGCUUGUUGGCGGGGUAACGGCCCACCAAGGCGACGAUCAGUAGGGGUUCUGAGAGGAAGGUCCCCCACAUUGGAACUGAGACACGGUCCAAACUCCUACGGGAGGCAGCAGUGAGGAAUAUUGGUCAAUGGACGAGAGUCUGAACCAGCCAAGUAGCGUGAAGGAUGACUGCCCUAUGGGUUGUAAACUUCUUUUAAAGAGGGAAGAGCAGAAGACGGUACCUCUAGAAUAAGGAUCGGNUAACUCCGUGCCAGCAG
rnacentral:rRNA from 1 species